UACAGAGGUCCCAAGCGUUGUUCGGAUUCACUGGGCGUAAAGGGUGCGUAGGCGGUCGGGUAAGUCUGAUGUGAAAUCUCACAGCUUAACUGUGAAACUGCAUUGGAUACUAUCCGGCUCGAGGAAUGGAGGGGAGACUGGAAUACUUGGUGUAGCAGUGAAAUGCGUAGAUAUCAGGAGGAACACCAAUGGCGAAGGCAGCUCGCUGGGACGGUACUGACGCUGAGACGCGAAAGCGUGGGGAGCAAACAGG
rnacentral:rRNA from 1 species